rnacentral:siRNA from 1 species
UGUCAAUUCUCCUGUCAGUGCU